rnacentral:rRNA from 1 species
ACGAACGCUGGCGGCAUGCCUAACACCUGCAAGUCGAACGAGACCUUCGGGUCUAGUGGCGCACGGGUGCGUGACGCGUGGGAACCUGCCCUUAGUUUCGGAAUAACUCCCCGAAAGGGGUGCUAAUACCGGAUAAUGUCUUCGGACUAAAGAUUUUUCGCCUUUGGAUGGGGCCGCGUUGGUUUAGCUAGUUGGUAGGGUAAAAGGCUAACAAGGCGACGAUCCAUAGCUUGGCUGAGAGGAUGAUCAGCCACACUGGGGCUGAGACACGGCCCAGACUCCUACGGGAGGGAGGAGUGGGGAAUAUUGGACAAUGGGGGAAAGGCUGAACCAGCAAGGGCGCGUAAGUGAUGAAGGCCUUAGGGUUGUAAAGCACUUUUACCCGGGGUGAUAAUGACAGUACCGGGAGAAUAAGCUCCGGCUAACUCCGUG